AGACCUAGGAGUAAAGAGAGGAGGGGGAGAGACCUAGGAGUAAAGAGAGGAGGGGGAGAGACCUAGGAGUAAAGAGAGGAGGGGGAGAGACCUAGCCAGUUUAAGGACUAAACACUCUUCACGGUGGAUUACACCAAACCUCCUUCCCCUUCAACUCUCCUGUCUGUCUUCGUUGCCAUGAUGAUAGUGUGCGGUCAAAGCCAGUGUUGUUUUUGACCAACGACCUCUGUGAUAUUUUGAGAUCUAGAAGGGUGUGUCCAUAGACUGUUAAUCCAAGUUGUUGGGUUUUUAGGACUUCUUCAAUAAUACUCUAGUCUUGACUGUGGCACGGUCCUUCCAAACCCUGGGGAGGGGGACUGUGUUUGAGCGUCGUCUUCUGUGUGUGUGUGGUUGUGUUGGUAACCUUGUCCAUUCUUUGUUCUGAACAAUGUUCCAUUGUGUGUCAGUUGUCUAUGAAUGGACAUUGUACACAUUUCCUCAACAUACAUUUAGUCAUACUUCUGUGGAGGUUAGGCCUAGUUGUCAUCUCCCUCAUGUCAGUUUUCUCUGCCCUGAGGAUGCCGUGCCCCCCCACAGUUUUCCUGCUGAAACGGGUUUAUAGAAGAACCCAGAGGUUUAUUAGGUGUUUUAGGGAAAUAUGCCAGAGUAACCUGACUCCUCCCCCUCCCUGCCCCCUUUUCACUGUGAGUGGGGGUGAGAAAGGAAGUGAAGGACUGUUUGUGGAUUAAAGGCAAAAUCAUUGGUGCUCAUUGGCCACUUAGACUCGAGACUGUGGCCUAAGGGCUGUUGCUAUGGAAAGUUCAGAGGAGAAUGUCUAGAAUGGUAGUGAGGGUUCUGGUCAGUAGGUUGCUGCUGGUAGUGAGGGUUCUGGUCAGUAGGUUGCUGCUGGUAGUGAGGGUUCUGGUCAGUAGGUUGCUGCUGGUAGUGAGGGUUCUGGUCAGUAGGUUGCUGCUGGUAGUGAGGGUUCUGGUCAGUAGGUUGCUGCUGGUAGUGAGGGUUCUGGUCAGUAGGUUGCUGCUGGUAGUGAGGGUUCUGGUCAGUAGGUUGCUGCUGGUAGUGAGGGUUCUGGUCAGUAGGUUGCUGCUGGUAGUGAGGGUUCUGGUCAGUAGGUUGCUGCUGGUAGUGAGGGUUCUGGUCAGUAGGUUGCUGCUGGUAGUGAGGGUUCUGGUCAGUAGGUUGCUGCUGGUAGUGAGGGUUCUGGUCAGUAGGUUGCUGCUGGUAGUGAGGGUUCUGGUCAGUAGGUUGCUGCUGGUAGUGAGGGUUCUGGUAAGGAGGUUGCUGCUGGUAGUGAGGGUUCUGGUAAGGAGGUUGCUGCUGGUAGUGAGGGUUCUGGUAAGGAGGUUGCUGCUGGUAGUGAGGGUUCUGGUAAGGAGGUUGCUGCUGGUAGUGAGGGUUCUGGUAAGGAGGUUGCUGCUGGUAGUGGUGAUAAAGAUAUUGCUGUAGCUACUGGCUUCUAGAGGGGAUGAGGGAUCAGACGCAGGGGGGCGAUUUUAAAGGCUUUGUUUUCAAAUAAAUCAGUAUUUUUGUUAUUCUACUACAACGCCCAAUCAAGUCCCCCACAUCCUAAAAAGACUGACAAUAAUGGAAAAGGAAAACAGAGGAUUAUUAUUAUAAAUAAAUAAAAUCUGAAAAUUUGAAACAGUGUAAACAACACUUCAUCAACUGAUACAUAAUACCAUAGAGGCUGUUCGAACGAGAAGCCUUUAUUACAGCAUAACAAAGAUUAACAGACAAAUUUGUGAAAUUGUUUAUCCGACAUGUGGUUGCGUGAGACUUGGUGCUCAUAGAAUCAGCAGACUGUUAAUCAAACAGGCAACAGGAUCAGGAUCUGUCUUAUUUCUGGAGAUAUGGAUGAUUUAAUAACUGCAGGAACAUUUAGGCUAUUGAUUCUAGAAUAAAGUUUAUUCAGUUCUCGCUUUUCUUGGACUAUAGGACAGGGGCUGUUUUCUCAUCUCAUUCUGCUGCUGCCUCCACUGAAUUGUUCUCAACACCAAUAUGCUGGUUAACUUUGCUACUAUGCACUUCGCAACAUGGUCGAGGAAAAAGCACCAAUUCAACAGCGACCUGAUGUGUUUUACAAACAAGGACUGCGACCACAAUCCAAAGCGGGAUUAGGUGCAUUUGUUAUAAAAUUUAAUUUUUAUUAGUGUUACAACCAUUGUUCUUAAGUAAUAACCUUAUACAAUUUCAUUACCACAUGUCUUAGACUGAUGGGCUGUUCCAUCCCCACGGCCUCCACAAUGAAUCAGUCCACUCAGACAGGAGCCAAUCAGAAAGGAGCAUCAUGAUAUUCUUUGUUGCUACUGCUCGACUAAAGAAAUAUCUGUCGACCAAACAAUGGACCAGUCCACUAAAUGGGGUCAGCCCUAAAAGGCUUUUCUAUAGCCUGCCUUCUAACCUCUCUCUCUC